UGUGCCAGCAGCCGCGGUAAUACGUAGGGUGCGAGCGUUGUCCGGAAUUACUGGGCGUAAAGAGCUCGUAGGUGGUUUGUCGCGUCGUCUGUGAAAUUCUGGGGCUUAACUCCGGGCGUGCAGGCGAUACGGGCAUAACUUGAGUGCUGUAGGGGUAACUGGAAUUCCUGGUGUAGCGGUGAAAUGCGCAGAUAUCAGGAGGAACACCGAUGGCGAAGGCAGGUUACUGGGCAGUCACUGACGCUGAGGAGCGAAAGCAUGGGUAGCAAACAGGAUUAGAUACCCUGGUAGUCAAGGGCG
rnacentral:rRNA from 1 species